GAUGAACGCUGGCGGUGUGCCUAAUACAUGCAAGUCGAGCGAACAGACGAGGAGCUUACUCCUCUGACGUUAGCGGCGGACGGGUGAGUAACACGUGGAUAACCUACCUAUAAGACUGGGAUAACUUCGGGAAACCGGAGCUAAUACCGGAUAACAUGUUGAACCGCAUGGUUCAACAUUGAAGGACGGUCUUGCUGUCACUUAUAGAUGGAUUCGCGUCGCAUUAGCUAGUUGUUAAGUUAACGGCUUACCAAGGCAACGAUGAGUAGCCGACCUGGGAGGGUGAUCGGCCACACUGGAACGGAACAACGGUCAAGACUCCUCGGGGAGGAAGCAGUAGGGAAUCUUCGGCAAUGGGCGAAAGCCUGCCGGAGCAACGCCGCGUGAGUGAAGAAGGUCUUCGGAUCGUAAAACUCUGUUAUUAGGGAAGACGAAAUGUGUAAGUAAAUAUGCACGUCUUGACGGUACCUAAUCAGAAAGCCACGGCUAACUACGUG
rnacentral:rRNA from 1 species